UAGGGAAUCUUCCACAAUGGGCGAAAGCCUGAUGGAGCAACGCCGCGUGUGUGAUGAAGGCUUUUGGGUCGUAAAGCACUGUUGUAUGGGAAGAACAGCUAGAAUAGGAAAUGAUUUUAGUUUGACGGUACCAUACCAGAAAGGGACGGCUAAAUACGUGCCAG
rnacentral:rRNA from 1 species